rnacentral:misc_RNA from 1 species
UUUCUGUAGAACAUACUGAAUGUAGUAUCCUUCAAUGAAGCCUUGUAUCUUAAGUCAACAACAAGAGCAAGCGUGCUUGCCUUGUUGGAAGUUGGCAACACUGUCCCUGUGCUUGGAGGUUGUUUAGUCAACCAGCAGCUCUGUUAAAUUCAUUAACAAAGUCCACAGAUCAAACGACGGUGGUCCAAAGUUUUGUGUUCUUGAAUAAUGAGAACUGGGGAAACUUGUGGAUUAAAAUAUGACCGGCCUACCCUUGAAAAGGGGUUUGACUCAUGCGUUCCGUAGGUGAACCUGCGGAAGGCUCAUUACUGCGUACUGGCCCUUUUGGGUAGACUUCCCACCCUAUGUUUAUCUACUUUGUUGCUUUGGCAGGCCUGCAUUUGUGCUGCUGGCCUUUGGCUAGUUAGUGCCUGCCAGAGAACCAACACUCUGAAUCAUUUAUUGUCUGAGUACUAUUUAAUAGUUAAAACUUUCAACAACGGAUCUCUUGGUUCUG